CCCUUAGAUGUUCUGGGCUGCACGCGUGCUACAAUGGCGCUUGCAACAAGUCUUGCCAACCCGAUAGGGUGAGCGGAUCUUUGAAGAGGCGUCGUGAUCGGGACAGUUGAUUGCAAUUAUUCGACUCGAACGAGGAAUUCCUUGUAAUCGCGAUUCAUCAUAUCGCGCUGAAUACGUCCCUGCCCUUUGUACACACCGCCCGUCGCUCCUACCGAUUGGAUUGGCUGGUGAAGCGUUCGGAUUGUGGGUUCGGAGCGGUUCGCCGUUCUGGGCUUGCGAGAAGUUCGUUAAACCCUCCUAUCUAGAGGAAGGAGAAGUCGUAACA
rnacentral:rRNA from 1 species